rnacentral:rRNA from 2 species
ACACGACUCUCGGCAACGGAUAUCUCGGCUCUCGCAUCGAUGAAGAACGUAGCGAAAUGCGAUACCUGGUGUGAAUUGCAGAAUCCCGCGAACCAUCGAGUCUUUGAACGCAAGUUGCGCCCGAGGCCAUUCGGUUGAGGGCACGCCUGCCUGGGCGUCACG